rnacentral:rRNA from 1 species
UACAGAGGUCUCAAGCGUUGUUCGGAUUCAUUGGGCGUAAAGGGUGCGUAGGCGGCGCGGUAAGUCGGGUGUGAAAUCUUGGAGCUUAACUCCGAAACUGCAUUCGAUACUGCCGUGCUUGAGGACUGGAGAGGAGACUGGAAUUUACGGUGUAGCGGUGAAAUGCGUAGAUAUCGUAAGGAAGACCAGUGGCGAAGGCGGGUCUCGUGGACAGUU